rnacentral:lncRNA from 1 species
UUUAUUUGGGCAUAUACCAAUUUUAAUGACUUUUAUUUAAAUAGAUUUAACUAUUAAAUUAUUUUUAUAUAAUUUUUAUUUAAUUAAUAAUUAGACUUAUAAAACUAUAUAAAAAUAUUAAAAAAAUAAAAUUUAUUGUAAAAAUAUUUUAGAUCCGCAGCAUCGCCCGGGUAUUUCACUAGUAAUACAUAUAGGAACCUAGCAGGGAAUACACAGGACAGUGACACGUGGCUCACGGAGAGCAUUGCAUUUCGCGGAGGCACCACUUCGUACAUGUCACUAGCUAAGCUAGUGGGGGGUUUUACGGUGCUGUGCAUAAAUUCUUACAUGCGACGCAUGCAUAAUGCAUUUCACACACAUGAAAUGAAUCCUCCUCAGAUCCACCUCACGAGUACUGUAACUACUGUUACAUAUAGUACUAAUCCAAUAUUGCCACCGACCGUCACCGGCGCAAGUGACAAAAGAUUUAGUGGUCGGUAUCCGAAGUUUCAAGUUCGAAUCUUAAUUGUUUCAUAUUUUCAGUUAAAUUUAUUUCUAAAAAAAUAAACAAAGCAGGUAACAUGUUACCUAUCUCUCUCAAAAAAAAAAAAUCAAUAUUGCUUUAAAAAAAGAAGAAAAAACUUCAAAAAUCUCUCUUGUAGUUUCACACUCUUUUAUUUUAGUACCAUAUAGUUCAAAGUGUAUAAAGUUAGUACCAUAUGGUUUCGCACUUUCUCACUUUAGUAUCAUAUGGUUUAAAGUGUAUUAAGUUAGUACUCUAUGAUUUUAUUUUUGUAUUAAGUUAAUACCUUGUGGUUUUAUUUUUGUAUCAAGUUAGUGCCCUGUUGUUUUAUUUUUCUCUUAAUGAAAUAUUAAACCACAGGGUACUAAAAUGAAAAAGUGUGAAACCACAGGGUACUAACUUGAUACACUUUAAACUACAGGGUACUAAAGUGAGAAAGUGCAAAACCACAGAAUACUAACUUGAUACAUUUUAAACCACAUGGUACUAAAGUGAGAAAGAGCGAAACCACUUAGAAGUUUUCCCAAAAAAAGAACCUAUCUCUCUCAAAAAAAAAAAAAAAUUCAAUAUUGCUUUAAAAAAGAAAAAUGCUGCAUGUUACUAAAUAUUUACUAGAUCAUAUGAUAUUUUUUGUCAAAAAAAUGUAUAAAUUGUUUAAGAUUUUUAGUAUUCAAACAAAAAAAAACUUGAUUAAUUACACUAACAGCCGAGAACAGGAGCUAUUAGAACAGUUCAAUGUAUAUCUUAAUUAGGAGCAAUUGCUUAUAUACUUCUGUCCGCUCUUAAAAAACUAAUAUUAAAAAUAUCUUUCUUAAUUACGUUUCAAGUUUAUUUCAAAUAUAUCCUUAGAAUUAAAUUCUGUUAGUAAACUGUUAGCAAUAGUCAUUAUCUCUUUGAAAUUAUAAUUUUAUCCUUUCAAAUAUACCCUUUUACUACUUUUAAGUUAGCAGUAAAAAGAGUAUUUUAAUUUGUGGUCUUUCCAAAUAUAUCCUUCUAUCAUCACCAAUCAUCAUGUUCUACAUUAAGAAUUUCAGCGACAAAUAACUUUUCUUAUUUGCCCUUAAGUUAAGAACAAAAGAGGAAUUUUAAUUUUUUUUUAAUUCUAGUAGACAUUUAACUCGGGUUUAAUCCGAGAUAUAUUUAACGGGUAGUAACUGCAGGAAUAUUUUUAAAUAAUGGAGAAACGUAUGAUGGGUAUAUUAGAAACAAAAAAAAAAAAGUAAGAAUAAAUCAAAUAUUUUUGAAUUUUUGAGGG